GGCCUCAUAGCUCAGCUGGUAGAGCGUGCGCGUACAAAGCGUAGGGGGCGAUAAUGCAUGGGUUUGAAUCCCACCGAGGCUA
rfam:Echinostoma caproni strain Egypt genome assembly, scaffold: ECPE_scaffold0005599